GGAGCGUGGCUGGAGACAAGGGAGGAGCUCAAAAUACAGUAUGGCUCCUCCUCAACCAAAGAGAGCGAGAGCGAGAGAGAGCAACAAGUCAAACAGCUUCCAGUUAUUGUCACCCACAAGGGGGAAGGCCUCCUGCCCUGAUGAACCCUAAUCCAUGGGUUCCACCUCCCUUUUAUUACAAAUAAAUGAAUAAAAAGCAAAUAUCUAGCCCUUGUAGAACCCAGAUGAUGAGGCGAACAUAUACAGAUCUGUGAUGAGGAUAAUUCGCUUUGAACAUGCACAGAGGCCUCUACCUAUUUACAGCUGACCUCUAAAAUCUAAAAGAGAUAAGGAGUGAGCUGUACAUACUAACAAGCAAAGGGGAAAUGGCUGCUGAGCUGCACCCGCCAUUGUGAGGCCUGAGGAGGUGAUGAUGAUGGUGCCUCUCCAGCUGCUGUGAUUGGCUGUGGACGCCCUGUGAUGUCACAAAAGCACAUGGCAACUCAGUGGAUAUACAAAAGCGGCCCAAAGGGAAAGCCAAGGCAAAAGCUUGAAGAGGACACAGUGGACAACAGCUGUGUUAUUCAGUACUUGGUGGUCUCCUUCCACAUGGAGGCAAAGUGGCAAAUGGAAGGGGGCCAUCAUCCGUUAAUGAGAUGCUGUGGAGCAACAGGAAGGCAGGUGUACCUGCUGAGCAGGACCGUGGCUUGAAAGCGGCAGAUAUCCAUGGUUGGAACUUAGUGAUGGACCUGGCAGAAGCUGGUAGGUGUUGGUGGAUGGAAGCUGUGAUUAGUAUGUGGAUGCCCGGGAUGCCGCAGGGCUGAAGGAGGCUGAAGUUUGUGUAUGUAAACUGAUAGAAAUUCACCUUCAAAAGGCUGUUGACAAAAGCUGUGUGGAUAUUUGUGGAUUGAUGCUGGUGUAAGUAUGACUGGAGAGUGGACAUAGGUCACCCACCAGAUAUGGUAUGACUGGGAAUUGCAUGUUCAGAUCAGUGGCGUAGCGUGGGUUGUCAGCACCCGGGGCAAGGCAAGUAAUUUGCGCCCCCUAACCCGUGGAUUUGCGCCCCCUAAC